rnacentral:misc_RNA from 1 species
GAUGAAAACGUAGUGAAAUGCGAUAAGUAAUGUGAAUUGCAGAAUUCAGUGAAUCAUCGAAUCUUUGAACGCACAUUGCGCCCGCCAGUAUUCUGGCGGGCAUGCCUGUUCGAGCGUCAUUUCAACCAUCAAGCCCCCGGCUUGUGUUGGGGACCUGCGGCUGCCGCAGGCCCUGAAAACCAGUGGCGGGCUCGCUAGUCACUCCGAGCGUAGUAGUUACAUCUCGCUCAGGGCGUGCUGCGGGUUCCGGCCGUUAAAAGCCUUAUUUACCCAAGGUUGACCUCGGAUCAGGUAGGAAGACCCGCUGAACUUAAGCAUAUCAAUAAGCGGAGGA